rnacentral:rRNA from 1 species
UACGUAGGGUGCGAGCGUUAAUCGGAAUUACUGGGCGUAAAGUGUGCGCAGGCGGCCGAGCAAGUCGAGUGUGAAAGCCCCGAGCUUAACUUGGGAACUGCGCUCGAAACUACUUGGCUAGAGUGUGGCAGAGGGAGGUGGAAUUCCACGUGUAGCGGUGAAAUGCGUAGAGAUGAUGGAGGAACACCGAUGGCGAAGGCAGCCUCCUGGGCCAACACUGACGCUCAUGCACGAAAGCGUGGGGAGCAAACAGGAUUGAGAAACCCC